GACGCUAGUGUAGUAUUCAGUAACACUGAUACAGACAGAAAUAAGCAGCUGUCCAAAGAUGAAUACAUUCGUGCCGCAAUGAACCUGAACAGAAACACAGGACAUACACGCUAAAUUCAUGGAAAAAAGACAAAAAUGGCGACGACAUGAUCAGUUUGGAUGAAUUUGAAACAAAAAGUGAAUGAAAAUGGCAAAUAUCACUUUCCGUUACUAAUAAUGUAUUGGUUUCAUGUAGGACUUCAAAGAUAAAACCAACGGAGUUUGAAAAGCAUCAGCAAACGUUUUAUUAAAUUUGAAAGGAACACUUAUUUGAUGUUAACAAAAAAUAUGUCUGACAGUACCGUACAACGCGGGUUGGCAUUAAGUUUCUAUCCCCAGUUUGAAAAACAUAAUUACAUUUAAAUUGUCAUUCUUCGUGAAAAUAAAGAUGCAGAAUAUAG